rnacentral:rRNA from 1 species
UACGAAGGGGGCUAGCGUUGUUCGGAAUCACUGGGCGUAAAGGGCGCGUAGGCGGCUUUGUAAGUCGGGGGUGAAAGCCUGUGGCUCAACCACAAAAUUGCCUUCGAUACUGCAUGGCUUGAGACCGGAAGAGGUAAGUGGAACUGCGAGUGUAGAGGUGAAAUUCGUAGAUAUUCGCAAGAACACCAGUGGCGAAGGCGGCUUACUGGUCCGGUUCUGACGCUGAGGCGCGAAAGCGUGGGGAGCAAACAGG